AUACGUAGGGAGCGAGCGUUGUCCGGAAUUACUGGGCGUAAAGGGCGCGUAGGCGGCGCUUCAAGUCGUCUGUCAAAUGGGAGGGCUUAACCCUUUUUCGCAGACGAAACUGGAGAGCUUGAGAAGCAGAGAGGCAAACAGAAUUCCUGGUGUAGCGGUGAAAUGCGUAGAUAUCAGGAAGAAUACCAGUGGCGAAGGCGGUUUGCUGGCUGCAUACUGACGCUGAAGCGCGAAAGCCAGGGGAGCAAACGGGAUUAGAUACCCCGGUAGUCCUGGCAGUAAACGAUGUAUGCUGGGUGUGAGACUAGCGAUAGUUUCGUGCCGAAGUUAACGCGAUAAGCAUACCGCCUGGGGAAUACGGUCGCAAGAUUGAAACUCAAAUGAAUUGACGGGG
rnacentral:rRNA from 1 species